GCCAAAUUCGGCCAUAACAGCAAGCUGCGAGCAGCUAGAGAGAGAGAGAUCGAGAGAAGAGGGCUUGAGGAAGGGAGCUGGUGGUCUCGAUGGGCCGCAACCACGAGGCCUUAGUGACCAGUGAUGGUGGCAGGAAGCCAUGGCAGCUGGGCGAAGCGAGCAGCAAGCUGCGGCCAUGAUGGCUUGGUCGAAGGCAGAGCAGGGGACGGACAGCAGUGGUACAGUGCGACGACAAAGGCAGGUGCAGCUGUUGGCCAGGCCGAAAGCGGCUGGCUUGGCCGCGCAGCAAGCGGCCAUAGCCACGAGCUCUAGUGCACGGCCAUGGCAGCCGUUGCGAAGUUAGAGGCGCGAGGCAGGGGGCGGUCAGGGAGGUUGAUGAGGAUGAUCGCGACAGCCGGUGGAGCUGGGCUGUGAGCGCAUGGCAGAGGCCCUAUGCGCUAGAAGAAGAAGAAGGUGGGAGGAAGAAGAAAAGAAGAGAAGAAAAGAAAAAAAAGAAAAGAAAAGGAAAGAAAAGAAAGAAGAAAAAAAAUAGAGAAAAUAGAGGAAAAUGUUAGAAAAAUCCCAAAAAAUAGGAUUUGGAGAUUUAGUAAUAUUCCGAUGAUUUUGGUCAAGAAAAUUGUCCGGACACUCAUUUUGGGAAUAUGGCACGCAUACCGAGGAAGCUAGAGAGGCUAAGUCAAGAUGUUUUGCGGCUUAAGUUGAAGUGACUUAUGCGAAUUUUGAGGCUGGCACGCAAAUCGAGGUGAUGCACGUAUUUCGAGGCAAGACACAAAUAUCGAGGUAGGCUGAUAAGCUUGAGAAGGUCAAUGAGACAACAAAGACUCUAAAGGAAGCAACUGUUGUCCUGGAGUAUAUGAAUAAUUUUAUGACUAUAUAUAGUGUUUUGUUGUACAUUUUUGAAUAGUAGAUAUGAUUGUUAAAGUGUUACUCU